GACGAACGCUGGCGGCGUGCUUAACACAUGCAAGUCGAACGGAAAGGCCCUGCUUUUGUGGGGUGCUCGAGUGGCGAACGGGUGAGUAACACGUGAGUAACCUGCCCUUGACUUUGGGAUAACUUCAGGAAACUGGGGCUAAUACCGGAUAGGAGCUCCUGCUGCAUGGUGGGGGUUGGAAAGUUUCGGCGGUUGGGGAUGGACUCGCGGGUUAUCAGCUUGUUGGUGGGGUAGUGGCUUACCAAGGCUUUGACGGGUAGCCGGCCUGAGAGGGUGACCGGCCACAAUGGGACUGAGAGACGGCCCAGACUCCUACGGGAGGCAGCAGUGGGGAAUAUUGCACAAUGGGCGGAAGCCUGAUGCAGCAACGCCGCGUGCGGGAUGACGGCCUUCGGGUUGUAAACCGCUUUCGCCUGUGACGAAGCGUGAGUGACGGUAAUGGGUAAAGAAGCACCGGCUAACUACGUG
rnacentral:rRNA from 1 species